UACGUAGGUGGCAAGCGUUGUCCGGAUUUAUUGGGUUUAAAGGGUGCGUAGGCGGCCCUGUAAGUCAGUGGUGAAAUACUCUAGCUUAACUAGAGGGGUGCCAAUGAUACUGCAGGGCUUGAGUACAGAUGAGGUAGGCGGAAUUGACGGUGUAGCGGUGAAAUGCAUAGAUAUCGUCAAGAACACCGAUAGCGAAGGCAGCUUACUGGGCUGUAACUGACGCUGAUGCACGAAAAGUGUGGGGGAGCAAACAGG
rnacentral:rRNA from 1 species